rnacentral:rRNA from 1 species
GACGAACGCUGGCGGCGUGCUUAACACAUGCGAGUCGAACGGAAAGGCCCUGCUUGCAGGGUACUCGAGUGGCGAACGGGUGAGUAACACGUGGGUGAUCUGCCCUGCACUUCGGGAUAAGCCUGGGAAACUGGGUCUAAUACCGGAUAGGAGCCAUUUUUAGUGUGAUGGUUGGAAAGUUUUUUCGGUGUAGGAUGAGCUCGCGGCCUAUCAGCUUGUUGGUGGGGUAAUGGCCUACCAAGGCGGCGACGGAUAGCCGGCCUGAGAGGGUGGACGGCCACAUUGGGACUGAGAUACGGCCCAGACUCCUAAGGGAGGCAGAAGUGGGGAAUAUUGCACAAUGGGCGCCAGCCUGAUGCAGCGACGCCGCGUGGGGGAUGACGGCCUUCGGGUUGUAAACUCCUUUCGCUAGGGACGAAGCUUUUUGUGACGGUACCUAGAUAAGAAGCACCGGCUAACUACGUG